ACGGGUGAGUAAUGCAUCGGGACCUACCCAGACGUGGGGGAUAACGUAGGGAAACUUACGCUAAUACCGCAUACGUCCUACGGGAGAAAGCAGGGGACCUUCGGGCCUUGCGCGGUUGGACGGACCGAUGUGCGAUUAGCUAGUUGGUAGGGUAAUGGCCUACCAAGGCGACGAUCGCUAGCUGGUCUGAGAGGAUGAUCAGCCACACUGGGACUGAGACACGGCCCAGACUCCUACGGGAGGCAGCAGUGGGGAAUAUUGGACAAUGGGCGCAAGCCUGAUCCAGCAAUGCCGCGUGUGUGAAGAAGGCCCUCGGGUUGUAAAGCACUUUUAUCAGGAACGAAAUACCACGGGUUAAUACCCUAUGGGGCUGACGGUACCUGAGGAAUAAGCACCGGCUAACUUCGUGCCAGCAGCCGCGGUAAUACGAAGGGUGCAAGCGUUAAUCGGAAUUACUGGGCGUAAAGGGUGCGUAGGCGGUUGUUUAAGUCUGUCGUGAAAUCCCCGGGCUCAACCUGGGAAUGGCGAUGGAUACUGGACAGCUAGAGUGUGUCAGAGGAUGGUGGAAUUCCCGGUGUA
rnacentral:rRNA from 2 species